UACAGAGGUCUCAAGCGUUGUUCGGAUUCAUUGGGCGUAAAGGGUGCGUAGGUGGCGUCGUAAGUGGGGUGUGAAAUCCCGGGGCUUAACCCCGGGACUGCAUUCCAUACUGCGGUGCUUGAGGACUGGAGAGGAGACUGGAAUUUACGGUGUAGCAGUGAAAUGCGUAGAGAUCGUAAGGAAGACCAGUGGCGAAGGCGGGUCUCUGGACAGUUACCGACGCUGAGGCACGAAGGUCAGGGGAGCAAACGGG
rnacentral:rRNA from 1 species